AUGCCCUCUUUGGCGGAACAAGGACUAAAAUGGGAACAAUCCAGAGAAGCUUAGCAUGGCCCCUGCACAAGUAUAACUCACAUAUUUGUUAAGUAUUUCAUAUUUUG
ensembl:snRNA U6 U6 spliceosomal RNA